UCUCUCGUUUAGCGUCCGCUAUGUAAACGGGCCUUGUUGUGAAUCUAAACAAAAUCAGUCAGUCAUCGUUUUGUUGCCGAACGAGCAACGCGUCGAGGUUUCAGUGGUUUCGGUGUGAGCAUGUCGUCGCAGUGAACUUUAACUUACAAAAUGCAUGCUCUUUUCGGUGAACAAAGCCCAUAUGCGUACCGCGGUGGUGCGGCCGGUGGAUAUUCAGCCGGCGUCGCACCAUACGCUUAUGAACAAUAUCGCUAUGGUUAUGGAGCCCCGUACCUCCACCCGCAUCAGCAGCAUGUGGGGGCACCGAAAGACAUGGUCAAACCGCCAUACUCGUACAUAGCCCUUAUUGCGAUGGCAAUACAGAAUGCACCAGAGCGGCGCAUCACGUUGAAUGGUAUUUAUCAGUUUAUCAUGGAGCGAUUUCCCUAUUAUAGAGAAAACAAACAAGGAUGGCAAAAUUCUAUAAGACACAACUUAAGCCUCAACGAGUGUUUUGUUAAAGUAGCCAGAGACGAUAAAAAACCUGGUAAAGGUAGUUAUUGGACAUUAGACCCAGAUUCGUAUAACAUGUUCGAUAACGGUUCAUAUCUAAGGCGGCGGCGCCGUUUCAAGAAAAAAGAUGCUUUAAAGGAAAAAGAAGAAGCACUUAAGCGACAACAGCAACUUCAACAAGCACAGGAGGCGCUCGCCGCACAAGAAGCGUUAUCGGCAGCUGAUGCUCUCGGACAGCAACGUGACGUCAAACCUGAUGUAAAACCACGGAUUUUUGAGUGCCGACCGAAGAGGGAACCCGGCGCAGAAUGCACAAGAUACGAUAAGCCAGUAGAUUCGAUUGACGAAUUCAAUGAACCGAGAUUGCCGCCGUCUGCGGUGUACUGUUCUCCGCAGCCGUAUUCUUUAGCGGCAGAAGAUUUUCGUGCAGCCACAUCGGGAUGGUAUACAGCACCCGAGCCUCCGGCCGAGCAACUCCCGCCGGCUUUUCGUGAUUUAUUUGAACCACCAAGCUGUCAGUUGGCUGGGUUUCGGGGAGGCUCGCCACCGCCGGAAGCUUACCGCGCGUCGCCGCCGCAUCACCACUAUCGCACGCCGGCGCCGUCUUACUACCACCACCAGGCGUGUGUGGCUGCUGCACCCGCUCCGGCACACAAGUCCUAUUGAAGUGAAAUACUUCAGAAAGCCGACAUCGUACGGCGCCGAACGGAUUUAGCCGCACGCGUCAGUUCCAGCGCGGAUAAAUAUAGAGCAUUAGCCGGAGAUGCCACGAAGGCAAGUGGCGGCGCGUCGAUAACCACUGUUUACAGAUCGGCGGCCGACCCUGCCGCCUCCCGCUUCGAUUACACCUAUAGGUACAAUGAACGGGUGUUGAGCAAAACGCAACCGGAAAACGAAAUUCAACGUUCCGCAACGGAACUGGCUUCUUGUGUGGACUAACAAGUGAUACAAAUUCACGGACACGUAUUAUUUAUGAACACGCUUCUAUAUAUGUACAGAUAUCUUGCGAGAUAUUCGACAGUGUCAGAAGACUUAUUAUUAGUAUGUAUAUUUGUUCAUUAGUGGACUUAUUCUAUUUUAAGAUGCUUAAUAUAAUUCCGAUGUGUAUUAGCGAUUUUUUGAUGAUAGUAUCGAAGUUAUUUCAGUGUUAACUGUCCGAUCGAACUGUACAGUGCGAGGUACGUUAUAUUGUAAACGAAUGUAUUUGUAUAUAAUAGUUAAUGUUAGCUAAAUAUUAACUUUUUUUCUGUACACCCGUGUAUAAGAGAGAUGAGAUGUAGAGCAAAUUAAAAGAAUGUGCCGAUAUUCUAGUCUAUUGUUGUGUUUUCUAAGUAAAAAUGUAGUAAUUCAUGGAUGUCACGAUGUAAUUAAUAUAGUGAACACUGACAAUGCAUACCUUUACCUACUUAUAUGAUUAAUAAGUAAUUAUACAAGGAUGACGCAAUCUAAA